rnacentral:rRNA from 1 species
UACGUAGGGGGCAAGCGUUGUCCGGAAUUAUUGGGCGUAAAGAGCGCGUAGGCGGUCCGAUAAGUCGGCUGUGAAAGUCAGGGGCUCAACCCUUGGAAGCCGGCCGAUACUGUCGGACUAGAGUCCGGAAGAGGCGAGUGGAAUUCCCGGUGUAGCGGUGAAAUGCGCAGAUAUCGGGAAGGAACACCCAAUGGCGAAGGCAGCUCGCUGGGACGGUACUGACGCUGAGACGCGAAAGCGUGGGGAGCGAACAGG